rnacentral:rRNA from 1 species
GACGAACGCUGGCGGCGUGCUUAACACAUGCAAGUCGAACGGAAAGGCCCUGCUUUUGUGGGGUGCUCGAGUGGCGAACGGGUGAGUAACACGUUAGUAACCUGCCCUUGACUUUGGUAUAACUUCAGGAAACUGGGGCUAAUACCGGAUAGGAUCUCCUGCUGCAUGGUGGGGGUUGGAAAGUUUCGGCGGUUGGGGAUGGACUCGCGGCUUAUGAGCUUGUUGGUGGGGUAGUGGCUGACCAAGGCUUUGACGGGUAGCCGGACUGAGAGGGUGACCGGCAACAGUGGGAGUGAGGUACGGCCCAGAGGCCUACGGGAGGCAAGAGUGGAGAAAAGUGCACAAUGGGCGGAAGGCGGAUGCAGGAACGCCGGGUGGGAGAGGACGGCCUUCGGGUUGGAAAAGGCUUUGGCCUGUGACGAAGCGUGAGUGACGGUAAUGGGGAAAGAAGCACGGGCUAACUACGU